rnacentral:misc_RNA from 1 species
CAAGUUGGGGAAAGAAACCAUUCUAUUGAAAAGUGAUGAUUGAGCACCAUGCUCGCCCUCUGACAGAAAUUCCUCAAAUGCUGGCUCAUCAGCAGUCAAUAUUUGCUUGUGUCUCGAUUCAAUUCCUGGAGGCGCCUUCUUCAUUUUGCUGCGAAAGCUUCUAAGAUGUGGUAGACCAUCCAGCUUCAAGGAGCGUAACUGAUUGAACUCAACCACUUCUUCAUUGCUGUCUUGAUCUUCAUCUAUAACAAUAGCUUCCAUGUUGGGACAAGACCGCACUUCCAUUACUCGUAGCUGCAAAAGACAUCUGGCAGUAGAUAAUGAGAAGAGAUUCGUCAAUCUGUUGCAAAACGAUACUUCUAAAAUUCCUAAUUUAUUAAAAGAUCCUGCAGCGAGUUGACCAUGACAAAUCUUCUCCAGAUUCAUUAAAUUUUCCAAAAUUAAGGACUCUAGAAUGGGAAAGGCAUCACAUGCAGCGCACUUUGUCGAAUUGAUGAUAUGUUGAAUGACAGUAUUGUUCUGGACAUGGAGAUGCUUCAAUUGCGGAAAGCCGUCCCCAUCAAUAUCAUACAACACAUUCUCAGCCCCUCUCACUUCAUCUAAAUAUAAAUCUUCAGUCUCCCUCAACAACAC